GCUCCCGGAUGUUAGCGGCGGACGGGUGAGUAACACGUGGGUAACCUGCCUGUAAGACUGGGAUAACUCCGGGAAACCGGGAGCUAAUACCGGAUAGUUCCUUGAACCGCAUGGUUCAAGGAUGAAAGACGGUUUCGGCUGUCACUUACAGAUGGACCCGCGGCGCAUUAGCUAGUUGGUGGGGUAAUGGCUCACCAAGGCGACGAUGCGUAGCCGACCUGAGAGGGUGAUCGGCCACACUGGGACUGAGACACGGCCCAGACUCCUACGGGAGGCAGCAGUAGGGAAUCUUCCGCAAUGGACGAAAGUCUGACGGAGCAACGCCGCGUGAGUGAUGAAGGUUUUCGGAUCGUAAAGCUCUGUUGUUAGGGAAGAACAAGUGCGAGAGUAACUGCUCGCACCUUGACGGUACCUAACCAGAAAGCCACGGCUAACUACGUGCCAGCAGCCGCGGUAAUACGUAGGUGGCAAGCGUUGUCCGGAAUUAUUGGGCGUAAAGGGCUCGCAGGCGGUUUCUUAAGUCUGAUGUGAAAGCCCCCGGCUCAACCGGGGAGGGUCAUUGGAAACUGGGAAACUUGAGUGCAGAAGAGGAGAGUGGAAUUCCACGUGUAGCGGUGAAAUGCGUAGAGAUGUGGAGGAACACCAGUGGCGAAGGCGACUCUCUGGUCUGUAACUGACGCUGAGGAGCGAAAGCGUGGGGAGCGAACAGGAUUAGAUACCCUGGUAGUCCACGCCGUAAACGAUGAGUGCUAAGUGUUAGGGGGUUUCCGCCCCUUAGUGCUGCAGCUAACGCAUUAAGCACUCCGCCUGGGGAGUACGGUCGCAAGACUGAAACUCAAAGGAAUUGACGGGGGCCCGCACAAGCGGUGGAGCAUGUGGUUUAAUUCGAAGCAACGCGAAGAACCUUACCAGGUCUUGACAUCCUCUGACAACCCUAGAGAUAGGGCUUUCCCUUCGGGGACAGAGUGACAGGUGGUGCAUGGUUGUCGUCAGCUCGUGUCGUGAGAUGUUGGGUUAAGUCCCGCAACGAGCGCAACCCUUGAUCUUAGUUGCCAGCAUUCAGUUGGGCACUCUAAGGUGACUGCCGGUGACAAACCGGAGGAAGGUGGGGAUGACGUCAAAUCAUCAUGCCCCUUAUGACCUGGGCUACACACGUGCUACAAUGGACAGAACAAAGGGCUGCAAGACCGCAAGGUUUAGCCAAUCCCAUAAAUCUGUUCUCAGUUCGGAUCGCAGUCUGCAACUCGACUGCGUGAAGCUGGAAUCGCUAGUAAUCGCGGAUCAGCAUGCCGCGGUGAAUACGUUCCCGGGCCUUGUACACACCGCCCGUCACACCACGAGAGUUUGCAACACCCGAAGUCGGUGAGGUAACCUUUAUGGAGCCAGCCGCCGAAA
rnacentral:rRNA from 1 species